rnacentral:rRNA from 1 species
UGCGUAGGCGGCCGAUUAAGUUGGAUGUGAAAUACCCGGGCUUAACCUGGGGGGUGCAUCCAAUACUGGUUGGCUAGAGUGCAGGAGAGGGAAGCGGAAUUCCUAGUGUAGCGGUGAAAUGCGUAGAUAUUAGGAGGAACACCAGUGGCGAAGGCGGCUUUCUGGACUGUAACUGACGCUGAUGCACGAAAGCGUGGGGAGCAAACAG